GCACAGGCGCGGGCGUCGCCCCGGCACCACGCGGGGCCCCACGUCGCGGGUCAGCCGGGCUCCGGGUGGAGCGCGCUUCUAGGAGGCCCCUCCGCAGGGCCGGCCGAGAACUUUCGCCAUUUCCUUGCCCAAGUGGGAAACCCUCGGGUUCGCUGCUGGGGCCCUGGCGGCGCUCCCCGGGAGCAGACGGGCGCCCGGCCGCGGCCUGGGGAAGCCGGCGCCCGCGGCCCCGGAACGCGGGUGCCGGGUGCGCGGGGAGGGGGAGAGGGGCCGGGGCCGCGCCGCGAACUGGGGCGCAGACACCAGCGUGUCGUGACGCGCUCAUUACAACCCCUUCCUCUGUCCCGACUUACCGCCCCAGCUCUCUUUUUAAAAGAAGGGGGCAGGUGGUGGUUUUGUUGUUUUAACCGUUCAAAGGGAACUGUUCGGUGCAAGGCUUAAUAAACUUCGUGCGUGCGUGCGUCUCCAACAACCAAGGGCAAACUUUCUUGCUGCCCUUGAGCCCGAGCGGUGCCAUAUAACAGCCUCCUCUUGAAAUAAGCCCCUGGGUACCUUAGGGCGUAAGCUGCGAUCGCGAAUUUUAAAAUAACCCAUUAGGGAUCCAGGUGGGAGCUUUGUCCCCACACACCAAGUGACUCUCUCCUUCCACGCCCUCCAAGAAGAGUGGCUCGACCAGAGGCGCUCCGGGCCCCCGAUCCUCUCCUUAAUGCAGUCUGAGUGGGCACUGCGGCGGAGAGGGGAUGCGUCGCCCCAACCUCGAGAACACACGGGAGCCGACACCUUCCUUUGUGCCUCCCCUCGGCUCUGAACUUUGCCGCGCGGUCGGUUCUCCUUUAAGAAAGUAGCUAUCUCUGAAUAUGUAACGCCGGCGGCGGCCAGCCGGGCGGAGGGGAGCCCACCGGCCCGGGUCCCCGCGCGCGCCGCGGCCGGGGCGCCCGGAGAGCGCGUCCACACGCGCCGGUCCCGGCGAGAACCCGGGGCUGGGAGGGCGGGGGCUAACGGGAGCACAGGGCUAGGGAUCCUGAGCCGGGCGCGGGGUGAGCGGCCCGUCGCGUUCAUUUCCAUAAGAAAGCUGAAAUCGCGGUUGGAGGGAGGAUUUCUCGCCCUAACCGCCCUCCCCCUAUACCCGGUUUUCGGCAAGAAGCGGGCUCCGGAGCUCAGAGCCCUACGUGUGUGCGCUGGUCUUUGAUGGUAUUGAUAAAAUGUGGUUUCAGAUGUUGCCCCGACUGAGGCCGGUUUCCUGUCUGUUGUGCGGAGUGGAAGGACCGCGCGGGGUGAGUCCGGGGCGCGGGGGGAGCGGGCAGGAGAGGCAGGGGCAGGGCAGAGGGAGCGCAGCCUGGACCCUCGGAGGAAGUUCUCCGGUGGGGUUCCUAAGAGGACAGCCGGGAUGAAACGAAGAGCCCGAGGACAGGAGGGGGGGGGGGGGGCGUGAUUUGGGAGGAGGGGUCACGAAGCCCCGAGCCGAGCCGCCUGGCUGGUGGGAAGGUCCGGCCAGCCUUGAAAAGUGCCUCUUCAAACACCCGGGGAAACUUUCCCUCGCCGCCGCAGACCCUCUUCCUGAGAAGGAAUAAAGCGAACUUGCUCACACACUCGGUCCCACGGACGGUUCAAUUGUUCCUCCUUUCGCCUUGAGCCUCUUUUCGGCUUUCAGUGUGAACAGCAGCCAUGUGUCCUCAAUUCUAUUACAUAUAUAUAUAUAUAUAUAUAUAUAUAUAUAUAUAUUCUCCUAGGUACUUUAUGAUCCCAUCUGGAGAAAUUAAAACCCAGAUCUGUAAUGUUUAUUCUUAGUUUACAAAAAGCAGGGCGAAAAAUGUGUGAGACACAUGUCUGCAAAUAUAACAAAAGUACUUUCCCUUCUGCUUGAGAAAGUGGCCUGCAAAUGGCUUCCCUUUACUGGUUCUGGACCCCUUGUACUUCCCCCAAGAAACUAAAUGGGGUCGGGAGGAAAGCACCAAUCAGAUCAAGCAAUUAAAUGCCCAUUAUGACUAUUAAUGACUUUAUUACUAAUGGUUGGAGUGAAGGACUCCAAAGCUGCUCGCGGUGAUCAAGCUGUUUCCAAAUUCUGCUACCUAAGAUGUUUACAGCACUCCACCCCAACGGAGGAGGUCAGAAGCUAGAGAGGAUGUUUUCAAAGAGUCCAUCAGUAGGUAUCCCAUGCACAGUCAAUGCUGAAUUUCUCUCUUUCAGUAAAGUUUAUUGCUACUCCUGAUAAAUGAGGGAAUCUGUGUUUCUGGGGGGCAUCGAGUUAUGCGAUGAGUUACCAGGCUUGGAUGCGGCCCUGGAGUGGGGAGGGUGUGUUCCCUCACCAGUGACUGGGGAAAUGCUUAAGCCCUAGAAGAUUUUAAGGAACAAGUGUUUGAGAUCUUCGGAUGGGCUAAUGGAUAUCCAGAUGGCUGGGAGGAGGCGUCUAUCAUCUAGGUCUGACGGGACUUGCUUUCUCAGGAAACCUGGUGGGCGAGUCUGGUCAGAGGUGGAGGCAAGUUUCCGCAACUUACAACUUGCUUUGAAACUGACACAGAAAGAGGGCAGCGAAUGCUGUCACCCAGAGAGGGCCUCCACGGCCCUUUUCUCUCCUGGUGGACUCCUGAGACUCCCCCUAAGUGGCCCUUAGACAUUCAAGAUGUCAGGUAAGCUGGGAGGAGGGUUUGAUCUGUCCCCUGCACCCAAGUAAAUACAAAUACAUUUUGCUCCUUGAAAAGAAAUGUCACCGCUUUAAACUUUCCCCAGCCAGAGAUCCAACUAGUUGCAUCAGGGUCUCUUGUCAGCAACCUUAACCCAUCCUGCCUCUUGUUUCCUUCUUUGUGGCCUAACGUUGCAUUUUAGGGGGGUUUAUACAACGCUGCUCAUGUCAGCAAACCUCCCUGUCUCCAGCCUCACCCCAUCUCCCUGCCCGGAACUGUAGUCGGAAACCACAGACACACAAAUUCUCGUUAAAAUUUUCUGUUAUUCUUCCCGAUGGGAAGAGUUGACAAGACAUCGACAUUAAGUUGCAUAAAAUACAGUGGACUGAUCAGCCAGAAUGCAUCUCAUUUGCACUUGUACGGAGCCAGGGGUAGUGUCACUCCCUCCCUCCAGUUCUCUCUGCCAUGCUGGGCUGCCUGGCUGGAAUUUCCUAGCCGGCCCCACUCCGGAGGCCAUUGGUGAGGUCGGAGCCCCAGCCCAGCCCAGCUCAGGCCAGCCAGGGUUGGGGGGGAGGUGGGAGGGAAGAAGCCUCUGGAGGCCUGGCCCGAGGGUUGAGCCAACUUUGGCAGACCUUCCACUCUGGGCUGCCCCGGGGGGCUGUGAAGCCCUGCUGGGUGGGCGCAGGCGGCUGGAAGCCCCACAGUCUGCAGCUCUUCCGAGGGGCCCCCUCUGGGUUGAAUUAAAGGAAGAGGACACCAUGAAGGAGAGGGAUGGUCACUGAACACAGUUUAUACCCACUUCUAUCCUUCUUCCCCAAUUUUGUUCUCAUCACCUCCUUUGUCACCAGUGGAGGGGCACCGCGUCCUGAUGGGUUCUUCUCCCUACUCGUCCUCCUGACCUCAGAGUGUGAGGGCUUCUUCCUUUUCUCCCGCCUGGCCCAGCUGCCCUCCUGGGACCCAGAGUUCCCAGAAAAAAAAAUGCCUUUCUCAUCAACUCUCAAAGGCCCGGGUAGCUGCAAGGGGGAGCCUCGGGAACCCAGUGGGGGCACCAGGGGGAAGUUUGGGGUCUUUAUGCUGUUCUGCCUCACCAUUCACAAUCACUCCCCUGCUGCUUUGGUCUCAACUUUCCCGAACCGGGUGCUGGGGCUUCAACUCCUAUCCACCAAUACCUACCCAGAGCAGGGGCGCCGGGUCACUGCCAAGGUUUGGUGGUGAAGGGAGGCCUGGGGGCAGCGGUGACAGAAGGGCCAGAGGGUAUGGGGGGCUCUGGGAGCCUCAGCGAGGGUGGGGGGAGGACUCGAGUGCCCAAGCUUAGCCUCCUUGAAAGCCUCAAAAGCACGUCCCGGGGCGUCUUUUCCAUGGUGUCCUGCUUGCUCUCCUUGCAAAGGCCAUGGUGACUCAGACAUCCGCCAAACCCAGGAGCUCCCCUUUUCUCCAGCGUUCUUCUUGUCCAGCAGGGAGGCGUGUGGACUGCUUCUGGGCCUCCACUGCCAGGCCUGAUCGCAGCCCAUGACCUUCGCGGAGGGGUGGGGGGGGGGAGCAACCAAGGGCCAGGGAUGUUGCCCAGCAAGACCGCGGCCUCACUGCGCCACCGGAGGAACAGCCACCGACGAGGCCCGGCGGACCCAGGCGCCGCCACCCACCCAUGCCCGCGGCGGGCCUGCGGGAGCGCAGGGGCCGAGGCCGUGAAGCCGGGCAGCCAGCCUUGCACCAUUGACAGCCUGGGCACGUCUGCGGAGCCCGGGGGAACAAUCAACGGACUCUAUGUCCCGGGAGCUGGGGACACGCCUGUAAGGCCUUUCUGCCUGCUCAUAGCCACUGGGAGAAAAAUCAAGCGUCUUCCUCUUUGAUAAAUAGAGGAAAGCCGGUGGGAUCAGGUACAUAUAUAAAUAGUGUUGACCUCCUUGGCCCCUCCUCAUUGAAAAGCAGAAAGCCCAUUACAGGGGCAGGUUGCUCAGUGCCUUUGAGUAUCCACCAUUACCACCCGGUGGACUUCACUGGACCCCAGACUACUUACUUUGCAUCGCCGUCUUGUUGAAAACAUCCAGGACAACUAUUAAAUAGUUCUCGGAAGAAUUAAAGACAUUCUUCAGGUCUGAAACAUUUUUAAAGCCCUGGAUGAAAUCUUCAAGGAGCACAAAGUAUAAUCGUGUGCAAUGUUCCGGCCGACUAAAUGGGCUUGCCUUCUGCCGAGAGGCAGUCCUGGAGGACACAACUAAUGUGCAAUCUCCCAGGCAGCUCUUCAUCAGAACAUCCCUUGUCCUUUUGUUUUUGUUUUCGUAUUAAAAGAUGUUUUUGCUUUC